GUGGACAACCUACCCAAAAGUCUGGGAUAACCCCGGGAAACUGGGGAUAAUACCGGAUAGAUCAUCAUUGCUGGAAGGCUUGGUGGUUGAAACUUCAGGGGCUUUUGGAUGGGUCUGCGGCUGAUUAGGUUGUUGCCGGUGUAACGUACCGUCAAACCUGUAACCGGUACGGGCUCUGAGAGGAGGAGCCCGGAGAUGGGCACUGAGACAAGGGCCCAGGCCCUAUGGGGCGCAGCAGGUGCGAAAUCUCUGCAAUAGGCGAAAGCUUGACAGGGUUACUCUGAGUGAUUCCCGCUAAGGGGAUCUUUUGGCACCUUUAAAAAUGGUGCAGAAUAAGGGGUGGGCAAGUCUGGUGUCAGCCGCCGCGGUAAUACCAGCACCCCGAGUGGUCGGGACGAUUAUUGGGCCUAAAGCAUCCGUAGCCGGUACUGCAAGUCUUCCGUUAAAUCCACCUGCUUAACAGUUGGGCUGCGGGGGAUACUACAGCGCUAGGAGGCGGGAGAGGCAAGCGGUACUCAAUGGGUAGGGGUAAAAUCCGCUGAUCCAUUGAAGACUACCAGUGGCGAAGGCGGCUUGCCAGAACGCGCUCGACGGUGAGGGAUGAAAGCUGGGGGGAGCAAACCGGAUUAGAUACCCGGGUAGUCCCAGCUGUAAACGAUGCAGACUCGGUGAUGGGCUGGCCUUGUGCCAACCCAGUGCCGCAGGGAAGCCGUUAAGUCUGCCGCCUGGGGAGUACGGUCGCAAGACUGAAACUUAAAGGAAUUGGCGGGGGAGCACAAGGGC
rnacentral:rRNA from 1 species